AUUGAACGCUGGCGGCAUGCCUUACACGUGCAAGUCGAACGGUAACAGGUCUUCGGAUGCUGACGAGUGGCGAACGGGUGAGUAAUACAUCGGAACGUGCCUAGUAGUGGGGGAUAACUACUCGAAAGAGUGGCUAAUACCGCAUGAGAUCUACGGAUGAAAGCAGGGGAUCGCAAGACCUUGUGCUACUAGAGCGGCCGAUGGCAGAUUAGGUAGUUGGUGGGAUAAAAGCUUACCAAGCCGACGAUCUGUAGCUGGUCUGAGAGGACGAUCAGCCACACUGGGACUGAGACACGGCCCAGGCUCCUACGGGAGUCAGCAGUGGGGAAUUUUGGACAAUGGGCGAAAGCCUGAUCCAGCAAUGCCGCGUGCAGGAUGAAGGCCUUCGGGUUGUAAACUGCUUUUGUACGGAACGAAAAGCCCCGGGUUAAUACCCUGGGGUCAUGACGGUACCGUAAGAAUAAGCACCGGCUAACUACGUGCCAGCCGCCGCCGUAA
rnacentral:rRNA from 1 species